rnacentral:rRNA from 1 species
GACAGUCUCAGUUCGGAUUGAAGGCUGAAAUUCGCCUUCAUGAAGCCGGAAUUGCUAGUAAUGGCAGGUCAGCAUACUGCCGUGAAUACGUUCCCGGGCCUUGUACACACCGCCCGUCACACCAUGGGAGUCGGUAACACCCGAAGUCGGUAGCCUAACCGUAAGGAGGGCGCCGCCGAAGGUGGGAUUGAUGACUGGGGUGAAGUCGUAACAAGGUAAC